CGCGGGAUGGAGCAGUUGGCAGCUCGUCGGGCUCAUAACCGGAGGUCGUAGGUUCGAGUCCUACUCCCGCAA
rnacentral:tRNA from 1 species